GAUGAACGCUGGCGGCGUGCCUAAUACAUGCAAGUCGAGCGAACAGACGAGGAGCUUGCUCCUCUGACGUUAGAGGCGGACGGGUGAGUAACACGUGGAUAACCUACCUAUAAGACUGGGAUAACUUCGGGAAACCGGAGCUAAUAACGGAUAAUAUAUUGAACCGCAUGGUUCAGUAGUGAAAGACGGUUUUGCUGUCACUUAUAGAUGGAUCCGCGCCGCAUUAGCUAGUUGGUAAGGUAACGGCUUACCAAGGCGACGAUGCGUAGCCGACCUGAGAGGGUGAUCGGCCACACUGGAACUGAGACACGUUCCAGACUCCUACGGGAGGCAGCGUUAGGGAAUCUUCCGCAAUGGGCGAAAGCCUUACGGAGCAACGCCGCGUGAGUGAUGAGGGUCUUCUGAUCGUAAAACUCUGUUAUUAGGGAAGAACAAAUGUGUAAGUAACUAUGCACGUCUUGACGGUACCUAAUCAGAAAGCCAGGGCUAGCUACGUG
rnacentral:rRNA from 1 species